rnacentral:rRNA from 1 species
GACGAACGCUGGCGGCGUGCCUAAUACAUGCAAGUUGAGCGAUGAAGAUUGGUGCUUGCACCAAUUUGCAGAGCAGCGAACGGGUGAGUAACGCGUGGGGAAUCUGCCUUUGAGCGGGGGACAACAUUUGGAAACGAAUGCUAAUACCGCAUAACAACUUUAAACAUAAGUUUUAAGUUUGAAAGAUGCAAUUGCAUCACUCAAAGAUGAUCCCGCGUUGUAUUAGCUAGUUGGUGAGGUAAAGGCUCACCAAGGCGAUGAUACAUAGCCGACCUGAGAGGGUGAUCGGCCACAUUGGGACUGAGACACGGCCCAAACUCCUACGGGAGGCAGCAGUAGGGAAUCUUCGGCAAUGGACGAAAGUCUGACCGAGCAACGCCGCGUGAGUGAAGAAGGUUUUCGGAUCGUAAAACUCUGUUGGUAGAGAAGAACGUUGGUGAGAGUGGAAAGCUCACCAAGUGACGGUAACUACCCAGAAAGGGACGGCUAACUACGUG